rnacentral:rRNA from 1 species
GAUGAACGCUAGCUACAGGCUUAACACAUGCAAGUCGAGGGGAAACGAUAUUGGAAGCUUGCUUCCGAUAGGCGUCGACCGGUGCACGGGUGAGUAACGCGUAUCCAACCUGCCCACCACUUGGGGAUAACCUUGCGAACGUAAGACUAAUACCCAAUGAUAUCUCUAGAAGACAUCUGAAGGCGAUUAAAGAUUUAUCGGUGAUGGAUGGGGAUGCGUCUGAUUAGCUUGUUGGCGGGGUAACGGCCCACCAAGGCGACGAUCAGUAGGGGUUCUGAGAGGAAGGUCCCCCACAUUGGAACUGAGACACGGUCCAAACUCCUACGGGAGGCAGCAGUGAGGAAUAUUGGUCAAUGGACGAGAGUCUGAACCAGCCAAGUAGCGUGCAGGAUGACGGCCCUAUGGGUUGUAAACUGCUUUUAUAAGGGAAUUAAGUGAGCCUCGUGAGGCUUUUUGCAUGUACCUUAUGAAUAAGGACCGGCUAAUUCCGUGCCAGCCGCCGCGGUAA